UUUAUGGAGAGUUUGAUCCUGGCUCAGGAUGAACGCUGGCGGCGUGCCUAAUACAUGCAAGUCGAGCGAACAGACGAGGAGCUUGCUCCUCUGAUGUUAGCGGCGGACGGGUGAGUAACACGUGG
rnacentral:rRNA from 1 species